rnacentral:misc_RNA from 1 species
CCCCUUCCAUAUCCCACUUACACUACUUGCAAAUGUAUUCCAUGCUGGUCUUAUUACAGGUUCCUGAGUUUGAAGAACAGUCUCAACCUCCAUUAGCAUAGCACCAGAGACCAUGAUUCUGCCAUCUCUGUUCCGCUUCCGUCUAACCACUCUCCUCCCUCUCCUCCUCGGCUUGGUUCUCCCCUUUUCUUUCUCCGCCGCGGAUUUCGCCAUAUCAUUGUCAAUGCUCCACACAUUUUCCUUUUUCCCCUUUACUUUCACUCCCUCUCUGGGACUUGCAUUUUGGCGGUGGCGGGGUUUGUUCUGGCAUUGGGUUGCGAGACUUUUAGAGUUUAGUUUUUGAAAAUUAAAGGCAAGUGAAAGAUUUCGGGUGGAAAGGGAUUUGAGGGUGUAGUGAAACCCCAGUCGAUGAUUGACGGCGAAAGAGGUCUUGCAGAGGUGGAGACAUGGCGACUGCAUCAUCUUUCAAGCCUUAAACCAAAAUUAAC